rnacentral:rRNA from 1 species
AGUGAACGCUGGCGGCGUGCUUAACACAUGCAAGUCGAACGAGAACGGAUUAUAGCUUGCUAUAAUUGUCAGCUAAGUGGCGCACGGGUGAGUAAUGUAUAGAUAACCUGCCCUCUAGAAAGGAAUAACAGUUGGAAACGACUGCUAAUGCCCUAUAUGCCUUUAAUACAUAAGUAUGCAAGGGAAACGCUUUAGUGCUAGAGGAUGGGUCUGUAUGGUAUCAGCUAGUUGGUGAGGUAAUGGCUCACCAAGGCUAUGACGCCUAACUGGUUUGAGAGGAUGAUCAGUCACACUGGAACUGAGACACGGUCCAGACUCCUACGGGAGGCAGCAGUGGGGAAUAUUGCACAAUGGACGAAAGUCUGAUGCAGCAACGCCGCGUGGAGGAUGACACAUUUCGGUGCGUAAACUCCUUUUAUAUAGGAAGAUAAUGACGGUACCAUAUGAAUAAGCACCGGCUAACUCCGUGCCAGCCGCCGCAGUAA